AAGAAAAAAAAUGCCCUCAUGAAAAAGAACAGAAAAAAAACGAUGUUAUUCUCUCCGCCUCUCUCACGCGGCUGCGUCACGAAGCUUCUCGCGGCCGCCGCCCCUCACCAGAUGUCUCGCCCCAUCGCCGCCGCCGCUGCUCAUGGUGCCUCACACUGCCCUCGCAGCCGCCGCCGCCCUGGCUGCCGGCGCUCAUCCAUGCCGGACGUCUCAGCCCUGCCGGUGCCGCAUGUCUCGCUUCCUUUGUUGUUUGGGGGGAGUUAAUUUUGGACAAAGUCAGCUACACGUCUCCACAACAGUUGUACGCCCAUUUUUAUGGAACCAUCCAACCCACGUUCUUCAUCAACAUGGCAAGCUUAUAAUAGGUGAAUAAACCCCGUCAUUUGUUCUCUACUGCUGGAAACCACACACCAAAUCUCAAGUAUGGUUGUUGAGGUGCAAGGUGCAAGCGUGAGUACGGUGGUUGUACUCAAUCAUAAAAUUCCUCCUUUUGGCCAUAAGCUAGCUUCAUUUCGAGAAGGAAGUCCCUUCGGAAGGUUAAGGCUAUUUUUUCAAUAAAAUGAGACCUAUUGGUCGCUUCCAUGAUAGUUAGCUUCGUUUAGUGGCCAUUUGUGUGAUUAUUAACACGUUGGCUGGUAUUAUUAAAAUAUCAUAGUCUGUACUCAGACGGAUCCUAAACUAUGAUUUAAUAUAUGUUGAGAAAUGAUUGAAUUUCCAGGUCUAACACGGGACCCCUGCCCUCUUGUUCUGAUUUGUUCCUUUCCUUUGAGACUAACAUAUGGGUUUGGGUGACCCGAGGCACCACCAUGGCUGGCCAAGUUAGCGGACGCAGAGGGUUGGACGCCAUUUGGACCUAUGUGACACCUAGGACAAGUCUGAAAACUCUAAAAAUACAUUUUGGGUGUCUCAAGACAUAGAUGACACACUGGCAUAACUUUAGGGACCGCCUGUGCACUUCAUAACUAUGUAUGGAGCUUAUUCUGAGUAUACAAGAUCUUUGUGAACACUAAGAGAAGUCACUGAAAAUUAUACAAGAAAUUGUAUAGGUUCUUAGAGUAGU